rnacentral:misc_RNA from 1 species
AACUUUUGACAACGGAUCACUUGGCUCUCGCAUCGAUGAAGAACGCAGCGAAAUGCGAUAAGUAAUGUGAAUUCAGUGAAUCAUCGAAUCUUUGAACGCACCUUGCGCUCCUUGGUAUUCUGAGGAGCAUGCCUGUUUGAGUGUCAUUAAUAUAUCAACCUCUACAACUUUUGUUUGUUGAGUUGUUGGAUGUGGGGGCUCUUGCUGGCUUCUUUCUGAGGUCAGCUCCCCUGAAAUACAUUAGCGGAACAAUCCCCGUUCAUUGGUGUGAUAACUAUCUACGCUAUUGACGUGAAGUAGUUUGGCUUAUAACGGUCCAUUGACUUGGACAAAUUUUCAUUAAUGUGACCUCAAAUCAGGUAGGACUACCCGCUGAACUUAAGCAUAUCAAUAAGCGGAGGCU